UACAGAGGUGGCAAGCGUUGUUCGGAUUCACUGGGCGUAAAGGGUGCGUAGGCGGUCGGGUAAGUCUGAUGUGAAAUCUCACAGCUUAACUGUGAAACUGCAUUGGAUACUAUCCGGCUCGAGGAAUGGAGGGGAGACUGGAAUACUUGGUGUAGCAGUGAAAUGCGUAGAUAUCAAGUGGAACACCAGUGGCGAAGGCGAGUCUCUGGACAUUACCUGACGCUGAGGCACGAAAGCCAGGGGAGCAAACGGG
rnacentral:rRNA from 1 species